CGCGUGGAUAAUCUACCCUUAAGAUCGGGAUAACAGUAGGAAACGACUGCUAAUACCGUAUGUCCUGCAUAUUUAACUUUAUGUGGAAAAGGUGGCCUCUAUUUAUAAGCUACCGCUUUUGGAUGAGUCCGCGUCUCAUUAGCUUGUUGGUGGGGUAAUGGCCUACCAAGGCGACGAUGAGUAGCUGGUCUGAGAGGAUGAUCAGCCACACUGGGACUGAAACACGGCCCAGACUCCUACGGGAGGCAGCAGUGGGGAAUAUUGCGCAAUGGGGGAAACCCUGACGCAGCGACGCCGCGUGUAGGAAGAAGGCCUUCGGGUCGUAAACUACUGUCAAGAGGGAAGAAACUGUUAAGGUUUAAUACGCCUUUUCACUGACGGUACCUCUAGAGGAAGCACCGGCUAACUCCGUGCCAGCAGCCGCGGUAAUACGGAGGGUGCGAGCGUUAAUCGGAAUCACUGGGCGUAAAGCGUGCGUGGGCGGCGUGGAAAGUCAGACGUGAAAACCCUCGGCUCAACCGAGGAAUUGCGUUUGAAACUGCCAUGCUAGAGUCUCGGAGAGGUUGGCGGAAUUCCAGGUGUAGGAGUGAAAUCCGUAGAUAUCUGGAGGAACACCGGUGGCGAAGGCGGCCAACUGGACGAGUACUGACGCUGAGGUACGAAAGCGUGGGGAGCAAACAGGAUUAGAUACCCUGGUAGUCCACGCUGUAAACGAUAGAUAUUAGGUGUCGGGAUUUUAUCUCGGUGCCGCAGUUAACGCGUUAAAUAUCCCGCCUGGGAGAACGGUCGCAAAGCUGAAACUCAAAGGAAUUAACGGGGGCCGCACAAGCGGUGGAAUAUGUGGUUUAAUUCGAUGCAACGCGAAGAACCUUACCUGGGCUUAACAUCCUGAGAACCCUCCCGAAACGGAGGGGUGCUUCGGGGAAUUCAGUAACAGGUGCUGCAUGGCUGUCGUCAGCUCGUGCCGUGAGGUGUUGGGUUAAGUCCCGCAACGAGCGCAACCCCUAUUGUUAGUUGCCAGCAAGUAAAGUUGGGCACUCUAAUGAAACUGCCCGGGUCAACCGGGAGGAAGGUGGGGACGACGUCAAGUCAUCAUGGCCCUUACGCCCAGGGCAACACACGUACUACAAUGGUGCAUACAAAGGGCAGCGAAGCCGCGAGGCCAAGCCAAUCCCAGAAAAUGCAUCCCAGUCCGGAUCGGAAUCUGCAACUCGACUCCGUGAAGUUGGAAUCGCUAGUACCCCGGCACAGCAUGCCGGGGUGAAUACGUUCCCGGGCCUUGUACACAC
rnacentral:rRNA from 1 species